AACGCGAAGAACCUUACCUACCCUUGACAUCCUCUGAAUUCUACUGAGAAGUGGAAGUGCCGCAAGGAACAGAGAGACAGGUGCUGCAUGGCUGUCGUCAGCUCGUGUCGUGAGAUGUUGGGUUAAGUCCCGUAACGAGCGCAACCCUUGUUCUUAGUUACCAGCACGUUAUGGUGGGAACUCUAAGAAGACUGCCGGUGACAAACCGGAGGAAGGUGGGGAUGACGUCAAGUCAUCAUGGCCUUUAUGGGUAGGGCUACACACGUGCUACAAUGGGCAGUACAGAGGGAAGCGAACUCGCGAGGGGAAGCCAAUCUCACAAAACUGCUCGUAGUCCGGAUUGGAGUCUGCAACUCGACUCCAUGAAGCUGGAAUCGCUAGUAAUCGCGGAUCAGAACGCCGCGGUGAAUACGUUCUCGGGCCUUGUACACACCGAGACGUA
rnacentral:rRNA from 1 species